rnacentral:lncRNA from 1 species
GAGGUAUGGGACUGUAGGUGGAGGUAUAGAGGUAUGGGACUGUAGGUGGAGGUAUAGAGGUAUGGGACUGUAGGUGGAGGUAUAGAGGUAUGGGACUGUAGGUGGAGGUAUAGAGGUAUGGGACUGUAGGUGGAGGUAUAGAGGUAUGGGACUGUAGGUGGAGGUAUGGGACUGUAGGUGGAGGUAUAGAGGUAUGGGAUUGUAGGUGGAGGUAUAGAGGUAUGGGACUGUAGGUGGAGGUAUAGAGGUAUGGGAUUGUAGGUGGAGGUAUAGAGGUAUGGCAUUGUAGGUGGAGGUAUAGAGGUAUGGGACUGUAGGUGGAGGUAUAGAGGUAUGGAAUUGUAGGUGGAGGGAUGUGACUGUAGGUAUAGAGGUAUGGGACUGUAGGUAUAGAGGUAUGGGACUGUAGAUAUAGAG